UCAUGACAAUCUAAAUACAAAUAACUUGAACUUUUCCAUGGUCUUUUCAUAGACUGGAAAAUCCCCCAGCUGUGUCCUAGGAGCUGGGGGAGAGCGGGUUCUCACAGUGAUGAAGAAGUUCCUGGAGUUUUCUGUUGCUUUCAUGCAACCAGUUCUGGCAGAAGAGUUUUCUCUUUGAUGGGCAGCCCCUGCAUCGCCCUGCACAACAUCUUGGAGAAAUACCAAUAAAGAGAACGCCGCAGAGGGACCCUGCCCCACCAUCCCCAUGAGUUUCCUUCAGUGUGAGAGAGUAACCAGGCCUUGGGAAACCAGAGGCAAAGGUUUAGUUCAGUAAGGCCAUGUCUAAACUGCAAACUUCCUGUGUCUGGCAACAGCACCCUCAGAUACACCACGCUACUCUGCAGGCGCGGCCCUGCUCUGGAAGCAGCGAUGCACUGUCACAGCACGGUUAGCAACCUGUCCUUUGGGCUGUGCUGCUUCUGGUGAGGGGGUCAGGCGUACAUCACAGCGGGCCAUGCUUGGGGGCACUCUCUGCCAAACGCGGUAGGUUUGUAGUCUAGACACGGCCCGAAUAUCAUUGCUUGUCAACAAAUAUACUUUUUCAGUCCAUUACCACUUGUGAGUAGGGACCUUUCUAAUUCACGGCAGCUGCCUUUGGAUUUCACAGUCCUGGCACAGUGCCAGGCACCAAAUUUGUGGCAGUGUGGUACCCCCUCUCCCCCCAGCUCUGAUUGGUUGAGGGGCCCUGGAAGUCCUUCCCCUCCCUGGAGAUUGACAGAUGACCAUCUGUUAAUCAUUGGGGAGGGGCAGGACUUCUGGGGCCAGGUGGCCAUCUGUCAAUCUCUGGGGAGGGGUGGGACAUCUGGGGCCCCAUAGCCAAUCAGAGGCAUGGGGGGGCUGCCACACCCUGCUGUCAAAAUCUCCCUUGUGUCUCCCCUCCUCUCCCUCCCCCCAUGCUUAAGGAUGCUAAGGCUUUGCUCCCUUUUCUAUUUUUGCAGUGCCCCCCUUCCCCCAUUUCCUUUGUACAAGGCUCUCCCCAACUUGAUUUGCCCCGAGCCCCAUCUGAAUUGGGUUUUUCUGACUGCUCCAAAAUGAGCCAGAUCUUAUACCCCCAUCCACAACUCCCUCUUAGUUUUGGAUAGGAGUCUCAGGGUGCAUUUACAUGUGCCAUUAGGGGACAGCAAUAAACUGUGGAGUUUAUUGCUCUGCAGUUUAUUGCUCCCAGGUGCAUAUCUGCAUGUGCGCCUGGAUCACAGCAUAUGGACCUGGGUCACAGCAGGUCCAGUUGGCACGAGGCCUGGGCGGUCCUCCUACCAGCCCACGGCUGCUCCAACUGGGCUCAUUGUGCUGCAGAGCAGCUGGUUGGGGCACAAGGGUGCUUCAGUGCGGGGCUAGCUGGCAGGCAGCUCCAGCAUUGAGGCACCCUUGUGCCCUAGCCAGCCAGUCAGCAUCUACACGUGCACUGCUGUGCCUAAAAAAAACCCCAUAGCAGGGUAGUACCUGUAAAUACUUCUUUCUCUUACAAGUACUACCCUGCUGUGCAAUUUAUUUGUUUUGUGCACCCGAAUAAGGAUGCAAGUGUAGAUGCUGAGGUAUUACUGCCCAGUAAAUUAGUCAACUGCUCAGUAAAUGUUUUGAGUAGAUGUGCCCUCAGUGCUUCUGUAUUGGGACAGGCCAUUAAUCACAUAGGGAACUCUGAGGCACACAGGCAUGAUAUUUCCUUUCUCUCUCCCACUGUCUUUUGUAUUGUUGCUAAGUUUCUAUGUAGACACAUAGCACAAUGUAGACCUGAUCUCAGCUAGGCACUGUAGAUAUUGCUGUAAUGCAAAAUAUAUGUUAAUGAGGCAAGGAUUUUGGGGGGAGGGAGCGGUGAUAUCUUUUACUGGACCAACUGCAUGCUUUCCAAUGCAAGACAUAUUUUGGGUGACCUGAUAAAGGAUCUUGCAUUCCAAAGCUUGUCUAAGUUUAUUCCAACUAUGCAGUUAGUCCAAUAAAAGGUAUUGCCCAUCCUAAAUUUGUUGCCUCUCAUAUAAUUCCUGGACAAUUGUGGCUACAACAUCACCCUGAUGCUUACCAAUAAAUAUUAAUAUAAUUGGCAUCGACAGCUCUUAUGACAGAACCAAAACCGGUUGUUAGUUUUGGUGGUCAGUGCUUUGUGUCACAACCCAAAGUUGUGAUUUGUUGUUUGUGUGCCCUUCGGCAACGCUAAAUUAUGUUCCCACUAAAAUUACAGUUUCCUUUCACGGUGGACUUCUCUGCUGUGGGAGAGAACUCCGGUGCAAUUGGGGAUUUCCUGCCAAUUUGCAGCUUCUUUGCAUGGUGCAUUUCUUUUGCAUCUCAAAGAUGCACGGUGCAAAGGAGUUCCCGCCAUUUGUAUUUAGAUUCGCGCCACGUUAUUGGCCGGUUCUAAAUGUAGGCACACGUGGCGGCUAGCUAUUGGCUUGCUAGCCGUACAAAAGGCUUGAGUGGUUUCCACCCAAGUUGGAGGACUCCACGAACAUCAGGAGAGAGAGGAAAACUGGAGAGAGACAAAACUCACCAGGAGGAGGAGAGUUCGCACUGUGUGAAGAUCUCUAAGCGAUGUGGACCCUUGCGGACCCAACGCACCUUUCUUAAGCAGGCAACAGAGGUCUAAACAGCCUCUGGCCUCUCCCCGUCGCCAAGCGCAAUCCUAGACGUAUCCCUAUCCUAUAUAUACCCAAUUUUCAAACCCACGGAGUCUUAACAGCUCCGGGGGACCCGGGAACCGAACAAAACCCAUGGAGAUUCAGCCACUCCGUGAGGAAAGAAUUGCCGAACCCGCGGAGCCUAAACCACUCCGGGGCCAAAGAACCAAGUUUGUCAGAGUCCUCCAACGAGGACUCAAGCGGAGCUGCACCUGGAAAACUGUCCAGCCUACACCGCGACCAUCUUGGGUAAAAUGGAUAUGAUGUGACAUGACCAGUAUCAUUUUGCCUGCAUAAUUCGGAGCUUGAUAGAAAAAUGGUUGGUGAGUGAUGGAGAAAAGGACCUGCAAUUUCGGAAGGGAGUGGAGAAAAUGGGGACAUAUUUAUGCUCAGCUUGUUUGGGUGGGAUGGACUUCUGAACUUUGGGAUGCUUCUCCAGACUGAAAUAUGGAAACUCUUGAGACCCUACUACAAUGUGCCUUGUGUCUUUGGCUAGAGAGAAGAGAAGAGCUACCAACACCAUUCACCAAUGCAAAGGAGGCCGCAACGGCAAGUGGGUUGUGGCUUCCUACCUCAGUCCCAUCAGGAGUUUCCUUCAUUGGACUCACCAGGCGACAUGUGGAGGCCUUCUAUCGUGAACUCUGAAAGACACUGUCUCCUUGUGUGACCAAGUACGUCUGUUCACCAGAGCACCCCAAGGGAUGACGAGGUUGAAUGGUUAUAAACUACUGCAAGACUGUUUCAGGCUGGACAUAAGAAAGCAUUUCUUUACUGUCUGAGCCCCCGAGGUCUGGAAUAGCCUGCCAUCGGAGGUGGUUCAAGCACCUACAUUGAACACCUUCAAGAGAAAAUUGAAAUUAACCACUAACCAAGGCCAAACCCUAAAUUACACUAUUUACAACAUCACAAUACAACAUUUCAAUUACAAAAUAUAAGGUGCAAACAGGAACAAUCUUAAUAACAUCUACUCCUUAAUAUAAUCCCUGACCCAUGGCAAGAGAGAGUCCUUCUUCCAAUGGGGUCUCUUGGUGGGGGGUGUCCAGGAAGCACUAGGGGCCCUUCCCCUUAGGGCCUUGACUAGGUUGGGGGGCUGCUCACCCUGCCCCUUCUCUGGGUUUGCCCACCCCAAACAUCUUUCCCUGGUGGGACCCAAGAGCCCAGUGACUUACAUUCCCUCACGUGGCAGAGGUCAGGGCGCAGCUCUUUGGGGUCUCUUCUGCUGGAGUGCCUCUCCAGGCCUCUCCUACGCCACUGGGCUCCUCCCCACCCUAUGCACCACUCCAGGCACCCGAGGGCUCAGCUCCUCUCAGCUGCUGCACCACCGCUGCUGACUUCUGGGUGCUGGGCCUCAUGCU